UCUUACCCAUGUCUUUUGAGAGCCUUCGUUUCCUCGGCGGGUCCGCCCGCCGAUUGGACAACAUUCAAACCCUUUGCAGUUGCAAUCAGCGUCUGAAAAAACAUAAUAGUUACAACUUUCAACAACGGAUCUCUUGGUUCUGGCAUCGAUGAAGAACGCAGCGAAAUGCGAUAAGUAGUGUGAAUUGCAGAAUUCAGUGAAUCAUCGAAUCUUUGAACGCACAUUGCGCCCCUUGGUAUUCCAUGGGGCAUGCCUGUUCGAGCGUCAUUUGUACCUUCAAGCUCUGCUUGGUGUUGGGUGUUUGUCUCGCCUCCGCGUGUAGACUCGCCUUAAAACAAUUGGCAGCCGGCGUAUUGAUUUCGGAGCGCAGUACAUCUCGCGCUUUGCACUCAUAACGACGACGUCCAAAAGUACAUUUUUACACUCUUGACCUCGGAUCAGGUAGGGA
rnacentral:rRNA from 1 species